CUCAGACUACCACAAAAUCAGAACUUUUCCUACAAGUUGUCAACCCACUCCACCCAUCCAUUUGCCCCUGCCCCGGUGUUUGGUGGAGACCACAGCUGUAUAAUGUUACAGACAGAAAACGUCUCUUCCUUUCUUUUGUAACUCCCAGCAGGCUAUACUCAAAUCCGCGAUCUCUGGAAUACUUUCCCUGGAUGCUCCUUUUCCAUAUUUUUUUACCCCCAACAUCCCACUUUCCUGAUGGCUACAGACAGACUUGGGCAGAACACCGAGUCAUAUUUAUAAAAAUAAUAUUCAUUUCCCUUCUUACAUCCCAAAUGAAAGAGGAAGAAACUAACUUCAUUUAAGCAUGGAAAAUAAAAUUGAACAUAACGUAUACUGGUUCCAAAGCCCCAAACCAGUACCUCACAUUCUGUUGUGGUUGCAUGGAGGUGGAGGGAAAGGAGGGGGAUGCUAUUUUAAGAUACUGUAAAGCAUUGAAGAAAAGUGCAGACAUACAUCCAGACCCUCAGAUCUGGAUUCCCAGGAAACAGAUCAAGGUGGUGAGGAAGGAGUUUACUGUGGCGCAUGCUCAGGAUCAACAUGUGUGGGAAAUGAAGGAUUCAGCAUGGAACAGAGGAGGAAGUUGAGCCAUAGUGCAGUCACAGCAUUGGGCUCAGCUGACCCCACAGCAUAGAGCUCUGACCUGGGCAGGGGCUGGGGGAAUCCUUCCAGAUGUGCCCCACCUUGAGGCAAGGGUACCAGGCCCUGGGAGGGUGGCCUGGCCUCAGGCAAUGAAUUAUCAGAGGUCAGAUGAUUGCUCUCAGGGACUAACAACUCAUUUUCAUCAUUCAGGACCCUCUGUAGUUCCUUCAUUGUCCACCAGAUAUGUUGACAUUCAAAAUUCCGGACUAGGUACAUCUGGAGUAUUCUACUAGGCUGAUUUUGCGCUGCUUCUUAUAUGUUCCUUUUGUUCCAGCCAAACUAAGCUGCUGCCUUUUUCCUAUGACUGACCUACACUUUCCCCUGCAACUUAGAUCAGUUAAGCCCUCACUCCCUUUCUCAUUAAUUUCUCACCAUCCUUUAAGGUACAUGCAGUGGGUAAUUUAAACAUUUUUGACUGUUUACAUCUUAACCUCUUCUGAUAAAAAAAAAAAUGCUUCAUUCUCAACUUCACUCUUUCUUUCCUCUCUCUCUCUCUCUCUCUCUCACACACACACACACACACACACACACACACACACAUUUUCCUCUGUUUUGUGCAUAAAGUAUCUUGGCCAGAGGUGCUAGCAUAUGAUAAAGCUCUAGCAAAUUGCAAAACAGCAAAAGAUGCUUUUAUUUAAAGACAAACACUUUCAAAUUACUUGCUAAGUCAAACUCCUGUGAAAACGAUCAAAAGGUUGCAGACACAAGACUUUAGGUCUUGUAACUUGGUUUCCAGUUAAGCUCACGUCCCGCCAUUUUAAACAGAUCUCUAGUCCAAGAAUGCUAAGUCACACUUUUUAUGGCUUCAACAGUUCUUUAAAAAAAAAAGAAAGAAAGAAAAAUUACCAGACAAUCGGACUUAGAGCAGGUAAUUGAAUCCAUAUUUACAUAUUACCCCAAUUUGAAAAUGUAUGACUUUAAAUAAGUCAACUUUCUCCUCUGGUCCUGGAUUUCCCAAUUUAUUUUCUUACUUUUUCAUUCUUUCUUUCUUUUCCUUUUCCUUUUUCUUUUUUUUUUUUCAGACCGAGUCUUGCUCUGCUCUGUCGCCCAGUCUGGAGUGCACUGGUGCAAUCUCAGCUCACUGAAAUCUCCACCUCCCAGGUUCAAGCAAUUUUCCUGUCUCAGCUUCCCAGUUAGCUGGGACUACAAGCAUGUGCCACCAUGCAUGGCUAAUUUUUGUAUGUUUAGUUGAGACAGAGUUUCGCUAUGUUGGCCAGGCUGGUCUCAAACUCUUAACCUCGUGAUCCACCCACCUCAGCUUCCAAAAGUGCUGAGAUUGUAGGCAUGAGCCACUGUGCCUGGCCUGAUUUCCCAGUUUCUAAGAGGAGGGGUUGAUGACCAUAAAUCAGUUUCAGUCCUAACAGUCUAUGAUCAUAAGAAAAGAAAGCGGAAAUAAAGCUUAUCCUUCUCCAUCUUUUCCCAUUCUCCUGCCCUCUUGUCCAACAGUCUAACUGACCAUUUUAUAGUUCCUCAGAUGAGCUAUGUUCUCUUGCACCCCAACUUGAGCACUUUUUCCAGGUUCAUUUUCUCUCAGACUGGCUGAUUUCUAUGAGAUUCUAUGGGUAUCAGUUUGUGUGUCACUUUCUCUGAAAAUCUUCCCUUAACCCCUUGGCUUAGGUUGGAAGUCCGUACUAGGUACUCUCAUACUAUUCUGUACUUUUACCAAAGCCUAUGGAUUAUUUUAUGUAUUUUUCAAUUUAAAUGUCUGUACCUUCCACUCACCAACCCCCACCCCAGCACCAGGCUAUAAACUUGGAAAAAGCAGGAACACAUGACAGAAAAUAAAAAAUUGACACUUAAACUAAUUCAUUAAUGAAUGAACAAAUGUAACAUAAACCAAUGAAGAAACAGUGAAUGACUGAUGAUCAUUUGCUUCUGGUCCUAAUUUAAUUCAGAUUUUUUUCAUCUUUUUCCCACUGUG
ensembl:lncRNA